GGCGGCGAGUGGCGAACGGGUGAGUAAUACAUCGGAACGUGCCCUGUGAUGGGGGAUAACUACGCGAAAGCGUAGCUAAUACCGCAUACGACCUAAGGGUGAAAGUGGGGGAUCGAAAGACCUCACGUCAUAGGAGCGGCCGAUGGCGGAUUAGCUAGUUGGUGAGGUAAAGGCUUACCAAGGCGACGAUCCGUAGCUGGUCUGAGAGGACGACCAGCCACACUGGGACUGAGACACGGCCCAAACUCCUACGGGAGGCAGCAGUGGGGAAUCUUGGACAACUGGGGGCAACCCUGAUCCAGCAAUGCCGCGUGUGGGAUGAAGGCCUUCGGGUUGUAAACCACUUUUGGCGGGGGCGAAAUAUCGAGUGAUAAUACCAUUCGGUGAUGACGGUACCCGCAGAAUAAGCACCGGGUUAAAUACGUGCCAGCAGCCGCGGUAAUACGUAGGGUGCAAGCGUUAAUCGGAAUUACUGGGCGUAAAGCGUGCGCAGGCGGUUAAGUAAGACAGAUGUGAAAUUCCCGGGCUCAACCUGGGAACUGCAUUUGUGACUGCUUGACUAGAGUGCGGCAGAGGGGAGUGGAAUUCCGCGUGUAGCAGUGAAAUGCGUAGAUAUGCGGAGGAACACCGAUGGCGAAGGCAACUCCCUGGGCCUGCACUGACGCUCAUGCACGAAAGCGUGGGGAGCAAACAGGAUUAGAUACCCUGGUAGUCCACGCCCUAAACGAUGUCGACUAGUUGUUGGACGGGUUACUGUUCAGUAACGUAGCUAAC
rnacentral:rRNA from 2 species